GAUUUUUACAAGUCGUUCAAGGCGGACGGAUUCAGUCCCAAGAAGCUAAAGUUUUUCAAAGACAUUUGUAGGGAGGACUUUGCAGCUAAUGAUUUCCUUAGGCUGAACCAAAACCUGCCAGACUAAUGUUGAUUUGGGAGAGAAAGACGUUGUAAACUCAAUCAUCUUGACAUUCUUCAAUGAGUAAUUGUUCAAUUUUUAGGCAAAUACUGUACACUUUGAAUGCUGUGAAUAAAACUAUAUUUUAAAUAUAUUUAAAA